rnacentral:misc_RNA from 1 species
GAAAAACCCCAAGGUACCUCAAUGAAAAGCAGGAAAAUAAACUGGUUUACAAACAAAUUUUUUCUAAAUUUUCACAAAUUACAAUUUGAUGAACCAAUUUGAAAUCUUUCCACUACAACAGUCAGAAUUCUGAGAGAGAUUUAUUUAAAUGUACAAAAUUUUUUUUUCCCCAAAAAGAAGGAAACUAUCCCUCAUCAAAUUCUAAUCCUUUUUCUUUCAUUUGUACACAGAAC